UCUUCCCUCUUUCUUCGUGCCUAAUACAUGCAAGUCGAGCGAACAGAUGAGGAGCUUGCUCCUCUGACGUUAGCGGCGGACGGGUGAGUAACACGUGGAUAACCUACCUAUAAGACUGGGAUAACUUCGGGAAACCGGAGCUAAUACCGGAUAAUAUAUUGAACCGCAUGGUUCAAUAGUGAAAGACGGUUUUGCUGUCACUUAUAGAUGGAUCCGCGCCGCAUUAGCUAGUUGGUAAGGUAACGGCUUACCAAGGCGACGAUGCGUAGCCGACCUGAGAGGGUGAUCGGCCACACUGGAACUGAGACACGGUCCAGACUCCUACGGGAGGCAGCAGUAGGGAAUCUUCCGCAAUGGGCGAAAGCCUGACGGAGCAACGCCGCGUGAGUGAUGAAGGUCUUCGGAUCGUAAAACUCUGUUAUUAGGGAAGAACAAAUGUGUAAGUAACUAUGCACGUCUUGACGGUACCUAAUCAGAAAGCCACGGCUAACUACGUG
rnacentral:rRNA from 1 species